rnacentral:rRNA from 1 species
CAGCCGCCACGGGAAUACGGAGGGUGCAAGCGUUAUCCGGAUUUAUUGGGUUUAAAGGGUCCGUAGGCGGACUUAUAAGUCAGUGGUGAAAGCCUGUCGCUUAACGAUAGAACUGCCAUUGAUACUGUAAGUCUUGAGUAUAUUUGAGGUAGCUGGAAUAAGUAGUGUAGCGGUGAAAUGCAUAGAUAUUACUUAGAACACCAAUUGCGAAGGCAGGUUACCAAGAUAUAACUGACGCUGAGGGACGAAAGCGUGGGUAGCGAACAGGAUUAGAUACCCCCGUAGUCCCUGUCUCUUAUAC